AGUUAAAAAGCUAUAGAAAAGCCCAAUGUCUUGAAAACAUUGUGAAAGAAGUUCAAGUCUUCUAUUAACUU
rnacentral:tRNA from 2 species